rnacentral:tRNA from 1 species
GGAUAGCUCAGUUGGUAGAGCAUGAGACUCUCAGGGUUGUGGGUUUGAGCCCCAUGUUGAGCA